rnacentral:rRNA from 1 species
AUUGAACGCUGGCGGCAUGCUUUACACAUGCAAGUCGAACGGUAACAGGGAGCUUGCUCCGCUGACGAGUGGCGAACGGGUGAGUAAUGCGUCGGAACGUGCCGAGUAGUGGGGGAUAACGCAUCGAAAGGUGUGCUAAUACCGCAUACGUACUGAGGUAGAAAGUGGGGGACCUUCGGGCCUCACGCUAUUCGAGCGGCCGACGUCUGAUUAGCUAGUUGGUGAGGUAAAGGCUCACCAAGGCGACGAUCAGUAGCGGGUCUGAGAGGAUGAUCCGCCACACUGGGACUGAGACACGGCCCAGACUCCUACGGGAGGCAGCAGUGGGGAAUUUUGGACAAUGGGCGCAAGCCUGAUCCAGCCAUGCCGCGUGUCUGAAGAAGGCCUUCGGGCUGUAAAGGACUUUUGUCCGGGAGCAAAUGCCUGGUGUUAAUAGCAUCGGGAGCUGAGAGUACCGGAAGAAUAAGCACCGGCUAACUACGUGCCAGCCGCCGCGGUAAGAC